UGUGGCACUGCAGCCCCCAGCAUAGCAGCAAACAAUAUGAUAGCUUCACUGGGGCUACCGUAGGUCACAUGAGUGAGGUUAUAGGCACAUCUUCCUUGGAUUGUGGCCAUGUUGGAUGUAAUAUCCAAGAUAUUGCAAAAAGAUAGCCACUAGAAUAGUUCAAUGUUCUGUGUGUUAGGGCUGUAUCACAGUGACUUUACUAUGAAACUAGAGUUCACUGUUAACCAAAUUUACAGAAGAAAAAUCAAGGAAGAAGUCCACAUAGUUUUAAAUCAAACAACUGAGUAAAAAGGUUCAUCAUGAUGGAAAAAGCAAUCGCAAGAAACAGGGACUCUUCAAAUCGAACAAAUACUCCAGCGAGGUUGAGGAAGUGGUGAAGUUGUCCAUCUGCUGUUCCAGAUGUAGGUCUCUCAAGAGGGUCCGCACCCUGCAGCCCUUAUUCCGUCUGGGCCAUAUCACAAAUACCUUCCGGACCGUUCCAGGGGAGACUGCAGAGUUGUCAUUCACUGGGACAGUAGCUUGAGCAGAGACCGUAGAAACGGACUCGCACGAGGUGAUGGGCUUGAUUCAAAGCCCACUGAAGGGAAUGAAAAAUCGCCCCUUGGCUUUGGACCAUUCGCUGUAUCCCUUAUGUACAACUAAACCCCCGGGGCUGAGCUGAAGCUAUGUCUUCAGGCCAAAUUCUAGGUGUGCUCUCAGAACACGUAUGUGGCUUUCAGUAGCGUACUGUCUGAGCGCCCCGUUUGUUGUAUUUGGAGACGUGAGUGUGCAGGAGUGGAAUCGUCUAUAAACUCCGUGUCAGUCUGCUUAUCCCAUGUGCUCCGAGGCCCUUCUUCCGCAAUCCUGUUUAAAAGUAAAUCAAAGCUCACAUUUUAAAUAUUCCGGCCCGUGCUUUGGCCUUUCGCAGAGUAGCCGGUGGGUUCAUGCCACACGAAAGGGAAGCGAAGAGUAGGACAGAAUUAGGACAGUGGUGGUGGUGGUGAUGGUUAAAAAUUUAACCCAGGAGAAAUCGAAGCUUCGUCCUCUUGGGCACGGAUGAAAUAAAGAGCCUGUACCACAGUCUUUGGGCAGAACUGGCUUGGGAAGUAGCUCGAAAUUUGUUUAUAUUUUAAUAGCUUAAAAACCUGUCCCCUGGCUCAAUACAGCAGUGUUUUCGCACUAGUUCAGGAGGUCAGGCAGGCGUAGCCACAGCAUGGGAGUUAUUUAUGUCAAGUCGGGUUAUUGUAAACUAAAUCCAGCAAAUUGCAGAUAAGCUCAUCAGGGCCGCCAGUGGGCCAGUGCGCCGAGGUCAGUCUGUCCAUCCGCUUGGAGACAGUAAUUGUCCCAGGUCUGACACCGCGUCGGGGGCUCGCAGCAGCUCCAUCCAUCUCCAUCCAGUUAGCGCCGUGCUCCCAACAGGGCGCGGGCUGACUUGGCUGUACAUCCUGCAGCUAAGACUAGCUGUGCUCGGCCCUGCCAUUCAUGGCCGGGGUAGCGCUGCCCAGUCUGCUUUUGCUUUCGGGAGACAGCAGAAUUCACAGACACAGUUGGCCCUUGUACAGGGACAAAUAGGAAAAUUGGCUGUUUUAAAAAAGCCUUUGACGGGCAAGUGUUUCAGGUCCCCCCGGCAGCACCCCCAAAAAGACGGGGGAGAGAGAGAAAUCCUUACUGAAACAUCGUUUUACCAGAGGAAGCUCUAGCACUAAAAUUACGUCCGUUUUCCUGGAUUAAUUCCUUUUAUUUUACUAAAUAAUGAUUUACACAGGCAAUUUCCCCUCCCCAGCAGUUUUACUCUGAGAGCAUAAUCCCCCCACCCCUCUUUCGGUUUUUCCUUGUUAGUCUCCGAUCUGUCUCCCCCUGAACCCAACUCUAUAAUUCCCCAUAAACCCUUAUUAUUAGGGAAAUUCUUCCUUUCUGACAAUUUAAUAGUCUAAAGUAAUCAGCUGCGUGACAUCGCCCAUCCAUCUUCUCAAAAGAGAAAACAAAGGGGAUGUUUUUUUCUCCGGGCCUCUCCAAAUCCUUUUCUAUUUUGAGAAGGGCUCCCCACAAUGGGAUCCUUAUGAACCAUAAUGGUUAUGUUUAUGAAGCCAGCGAUACCAGUGUAUGAAGACAAUUUUAUGCCUAAUUAGAAAAUGAUGUAACCAAGAGGGAGACAAAGAGGACUUGUUUCCCAUGGCUAGGUCCCGGGCCAUCACUCCUGGGCUAAUGUAUCGCCUCUGAUGUGCCUUACGUCCACUAUUUUUCUAACAUCCCGUCCAUUCGCUCCUCAGACUGUUUAGGGUGUUGUGGACAGUUAGUAAAACAGCUCAAUUUAGCGGUGGAUUAAAGCAAUUUUGAAAGACGUUCUGAAGGGAAUCGCAGGGAAAGGAGAGGAAGGGGCCCUCCCCGCUUCUAUCCAAGGGGACCUCACCUCUGUGGAGACUCCAAUAACUUCAACCCCAGCCCUGCUCGAUUAAGGGAUAAUUUUUAAUAUAUAUGCAAUAAAUGUUCACUUUGUUAGACUGAAUGACAGACAAUAAUAUCGGCAAAUCUUCAUCUCCAUCCAUUACCGGCAAAUGAGCCGCACAAAGGACAUAUUUGCUUUUGAUUAAUUUAUUUGCAGACGCUGUUUGAUAAAGCAAUAACUAUUUGGUUAAACUUGACAUUUGGUCUUCGGGGGGUUAUCUGACAAAUCCCCCCUCGU